rnacentral:rRNA from 1 species
UACAGAGGAGCCAAGCGUUGUCCGGAUUGACUGGGCGUAAAGCGCACGCAGGGCGGGGGUGCGCGUGGGGUGUGAAAUCUGGCCGCUUAACGGCCAGGCGCCAUCCCAUACGGCACGCCUGGAGCCUUGCAGAGGUCGGUGGAAUUGCCGGUGUAGUGGUGAAAUGCGUAGAGAUCGGCAGGAACACCCAGGGGGAAACCAGCCGACUGGGCAAGUGCUGACGCUGAGGUGCGAGAGCGUGGGGGAGCGAACCGG